rnacentral:lncRNA from 1 species
GUGAACCCAAAUUUCAUGACGCCUGAGCAUGAUUAAAUGCAUUUUGUCAGCACCGGGUUACUUUGCAAAAAUGUGUUUAGACUUCUCACCCUGACAGCUGUUCUCUUUGCACUCUGUGUUUUAAGUAAUACACUUGAGGCAGGGGGACAUCAGUCAAGCCAUAUUUGAACAGAAGAGAGAGUUCCCUGUGUUAGAAUUUCCAGAUGCAUCAUCUAACUUUAGAUGAAGCAGAAAGCACAGAUUUUUUUUUUUAAAAAGUCUUAAAUUGUAAAAUACAUGGAAUAGUUUCCUUAUUAAAUCAAAGUAAUCACAGCCACGCUGGGUAUAACUCGGUCUUCCAAAUGGCAGCUCAGGCACACAGCAAUUAAACUAAGAGACAAUGAAAGCUGCGGUGUUUUUAAAGUUUCUACACUGACCUACCUUAUAAAAAGUAGGGGCAAAAUCUCUCUGUCUUUCCCUAAACUUUCUCUCUCUCUUUCGCUUUUUUUCCUCUGUCUGCAUUCUGUGAACUGAGUCACUGCCCAAGCAACGCCUGUUUAUCUGAGACAUAAGAGAUAUUGGUGAAACAGUAUAUAGGAGGACAAAAACUUCAUUUCAAAACCAUCUGAGUGCUCGAUAUGGGCGAAGCAUCAUAGAGUCAACGUAGUUAUUACUGUCUUCAGUCAGAGCUACUUUGCCUGUGCUACAGGACUGAAAGCCUAAUUUGUGUUGUUCACUGAGUGAGUGGGAAGUGAGAAAAAGGAGGUAAAGUGACAACAUUAUACAAUUUUUAAUUUAGAAAUACAAUAACUGCAUCUACAUUAAGGCAACAUUCUAAACAAGAGACAAUCAUAGUAAUACCUGCAAUGCUUAAACAGCUUACACCAUGAAAGGCAUUAUUCUAUGUGCUUCACGUGUGAUUACUCAUUUAACAUUCACACACUUCUCUAAGGAGAUCCAAGAUCUUUUAAGUGCGGCACUGUUCCUAUGCAAUUACAGCAUCAUUAUUGACCUGAUCCAACCACGUCAGUCUUUUUCUCCUUUCCUGGAAACUCAAUUUCUCAUAUUCCUUGCAAUGAGAUGAGUUUCUAAGGCCCAGUUCUAGCCAAUAAGUCCCAAAGGAAAGUGUGUUCAUGGCUUUGGUUUAACUUUUUGCUUUCCUACUGAAAGGAAAAUUGUGAAUCAGGAAUCAUAGUUGAUUCUACCUCCCCUUUUUCCAAACUUUUUGCAUUGCUUAGAACUACAGCAGCCAACAUGUGAUGCUAGAUCACCAGGCUUAAAAAUGGCAGGAAGUACCUCCUAAGAUCGGCUACAUGACGGCAUGAUGAGGAAGUCAAUGCAUCAGUCUUGAAAUGCCUGUGAAGAUACUUUUUAUUUUUGAGAAUUAAAUUUCUAUAUUGCCUAACCCACCGUUUGUAGGGAAAGCUAUUAUAUAUGACACAAUGAUGUUUCUGACAACUUCAAUUAGUUGUGUGUGUAUAUGUGUGUGUAUUUAUAUAUUAGAUAAUAAUCUAGAUAGACUCUGUAUAGAAUGGAUAAUAAGGAAGCAAAGACUGAUUCGGUUUAGAAGAAGUGACAUGAAUCAAGUAAAAGUGAGAAUAUAAAAUUUAUUCUAUCAUAUCCCCUAUGGAAAAAUAUUAGUAUAUUAGCUGUACAUAAUGUUUUUAAGAUUCAUGUUUACCAGGUUUAUUUGACAGGUAUUUUCAUUCUCUUGAUCGCAGUGAUGGUUUCAUACAUAAGUCAAAAUGAAUCAAAUUGUAGACCGUAAACAUGCUGCUUAUUGUAUAAAAAAUUAUACCUCAAUAAAACUGUUAAAGUAUAUUGAAUGAGAAUUAUG